rnacentral:rRNA from 1 species
UACAGAGGGUGCGAGCGUUGUUCGGAAUUAUUGGGCGUAAAGCGCAUGUAGGCGGCCUGUUAAGUCACGUGUGAAAGCCCCAGGCUCAACCUGGGAAGUGCGCGUGAAACUGGCGGGCUUGAAUCCUGGAGAGGUGCGGAAUUCCGCGUGUAGCAGUGAAUGCGUAGAUAUGCGGAGGAACACCGAUGGCGAAGGCAAUCCCCUGGACCUGUACUGACGCUCAUGCACGAA